UUAAAAUUGAGUGUGAUUCAUCCUCCAUAAUCAAAUAAUUCUUCAAGUAAAUAAUAUUAUCCAAGUGUUUUAAUAACAAGGAAAAUUUUGGGGUUUUGGUGGUGUGAAUGUGUGUGUGUGUCGAAUUACACAAGAAAAAAAGGAGAGAAAAGCUAGUGAUUUUUUCAUUCUCCCCAUCUUAUAUUCUUCAUUCAAGGUGGAAAGCAAUAUGAUUGUUAGAUGGUCAUCAUGGAUUUGUUUGUCGCGAUGAAGGUUGUCCCAGAAGUGGAAACAAGAGUAAGUGCUUCAAAGAUUUAUGUUGAUUUGGAAAUGCGGAAAUGUUGACUUAUGCGGUAAACGUUGGUUGUGGUUAGAACCCAUAGUGACUCCUUUGGACUAUUGGCUCUUGGUAUAUUUGAAGUGUUUUUAGUAAAGUUUUGUUUUAUACAUUUAUGCAAAAAGUUGAGUUGGAGUCAUGGUAUUUUGUAUAUUGAUAUAUUUUAAGUCUUGAAGUCUUGACUAUUAUGGUGGAUGGAAGUAUAAGUCAUUUUGGAGUCAAAUUGGUCAUUUUGUCACUUUGGGUAAUUGCGGGCGAGUGACCCGUUUGGUUGUUUUAAUGUAAAUUUCAAUGGUUAAAGUUUCGAAUGUAUCAAUUAGGUUGUAAUAUGUGAUUUUACA